AUGUGCGGGAAUCUGUCAUCUAUAUCAUCAAACUUCUGGUGGGGCGAAGCAAAUGGUGAGAAAAGAGUACAUUGGAUUGCUUGGGAUAACAUGUGCAUGAGAAAGCAAGAAGGCGGACUGGGGUUCCGGGAUCCAGAAGCGUUUAACCAAGCUUUGCUAGCCAAGCAAUGGCGAUUGCUGCAGGAGCCGAAUUCCUUGUGUGCAAGAGUUCUUAAGGCGAGGUAUUAUCGAGAAGGAUCCAUUCGUAAUGCUACAUGUCCCGACGGGGGUUCUUUCACCUUCAGAAGUGUUUUGCAUGGUCGAGACCUCCUCCUGGAGGGGCUAGUUUGGCGCAUUGGAGAUGGAUCCCGUAUUGGCAUUCACCACGAUAAUUGGAUUCCUCGCAAGGGAAGCCUGAAGCCACUGGGCCAGGUGUUUGUUCCGGGUAUGACUAAGGUAGUACAUUUACUGAAUGAUUCUAACACUAGUUGGGAUCAAGAAAAGGUACAAAACAUGUUUCCGUUAGCGGAAGAAGAUGAGAUACUGCAAAUUCCUGGGGGGGGGGGGCGACGGUAG
rnacentral:rRNA from 1 species